rnacentral:lncRNA from 1 species
GGCAAAUCUGGGUCAGGGUUUCUUUCCCAGAACACAUGGCCUCGGACAACAAGUGCCUGGGAGACGCCCUGGAGAGAUCUGUAGGUGGUUAAGAGAAAAGAAAAUAGAUAGGGCAGGAAAAAAAGAAAAGGAAAGAAAGAAGUCUAAAGAGCAGGGUGAAACAAGAGGGAGAUGUGGCAUAGGAUGGCACCAGGCUUGCACCUGCGAGAGUCACAGAGAGAAGGCUUGGCUUGGCUCUCAGGAGGGGAGUGAACAUCAGGAAGACGGAAUGCAUCUCUAGAUAAAGAGCCCUCACCAGGAUGCACAGGAGAAGGAGGGCCCCACCUCAGUGUCUGUUAACAGCAAAAGGGCUCUCAUCCCCACCUCCCAGAUCUGCUGCUACUUCCCUGUAGCUGCUCAGUAAAGAUCUCCAAAGUCCCGUACCCACUGGACCCCUGCCUACAGUCCCCUGACCAACCAUGACAAGCCCAGCAUCCAAGAAGAAAGAAGUCACCCAUGGCUGUGAGAGGCAUGAAGUAUUAUCAGCACCUGGGCGGACAUGCAUUUAGAUAUUGAGGACCCCUGUGUGCUUGCAUUUUCCCUGGAGUCUACAGCAAUGGUAUCUCAGUC